AAUCUUCCACAAUGGACGAAAGUCUGAUGGAGCAACGCCGCGUGAGCGAAGAAGGUUUUCGGAUCGUAAAGCUCUGUUGCGGGGGAAGAACAAGUACGGGAGUAACUGCCCGUACCUUGAAGGUAACUCGGCAGAAAGCCACGGCUAACUACGUGCCAGCAGCCGCGGUAAUACGUAGGUGGCAAGCGUUGACAGGAAUUUUUGGGCGGAAAGCGCGCGGAGGCGGUCCUUUAAGUCUGAUGUGAAAGCCCACGGCUCAACCGUGGAGGGUCAUUGGAAACUGGAGGACUUGAGUACAGAAGAGGAAAGCGGAAUUCCACGUGUAGCGGUGAAAUGCGUAGAGAUGUGGAGGAACACCAGUGGCGAAGGCGGCUUUCUGGUCUGUAACUGACGCUGAGGCGCGAAAGCGUGGGGAGCAAACA
rnacentral:rRNA from 1 species